GAUGAACGAUGACAGAAUGCUUAACACAUCAGCAAUUGAUUGGUGGCGGACGGGUGAGUAACGAGUAAAGAACUUGCCUCACAGCUAGGGACAACAUUUGGAAACGAAUGCUAAUACAUAAUACUGUGCGAGAGCUUUGCGUCCCAUUAGCUAGUUGGAGAGGUAAGGGAUCACCAAGGCGAUGAUGGGUAGCCGGCCUGAGAUGGUGAUCGGCCACAAGAGGACUGAGACACGGCCCUUACUCCUACGUGAGGCAGCAGUGGGGAAGAUUGGACAAUGGACCAAAGUCUGAUCCAUCAAUUCGGUGUGCACGAUGAAGUUUUCGGAAUGUAAAGUGCUUUCAUUUGGGAAGCGGUACCAACAGAAGAAGUGACGGCUAAAUACGUGCCAGCCGCCGCGGUAAUAC
rnacentral:rRNA from 1 species